GAUCUAAGAGGGUUAUGCCAAAAAUUAUAUAUUUGCUGUAUUAGAUGCUAUAGUAACUACGUUUAAGUUUCCUCCUCAGCACUGAGUCCAGACCCUUGAAUUCUUAAGAACAGUUAAGCCACAGCCCAAACCCAGGAUUUUAUAUAAACUCAAAACAAAAGCACGAGAGCUAAACCCAGGUAAUGAUUGUUCUUAAAAGUCCUGCUUCUAACAUGACCUUAUAUUCGCAUCAAACACAUUAUCUUUCUGUUCAAGAAGACAAUGUAGUGGAGCAUUCUGGAAUUUAAUGAUUUUCUACUUUCGCUUUUUUCCGAAUCGUACAGUAAGAAAGUGCUGCCCACAGAGAUGUUAUUAUUACAUACAACCCAGCUGGGAGGCUUAGUGUCAAACUAAAGGUGGAGAAACAGAAGAGAUGCUAACGGCACUGUCAUCACUGAAUUGGUCCUAAACCAGAGGAAUGCAAUACAAAAUGCUAUUGACGCUGUUGAAAUAGCAGGGUCUUAAGACACUGUAAAAGUACUCUACGAUAGCUCUA
rnacentral:lncRNA from 1 species